AUUGAACGCUGGCGGCAGGCUUAACACAUGCAAGUCGAGCGGGGUGAUGGUGCUUGCACUAUCACUUAGCGGCGGACGGGUGAGUAAUGCUUAGGAAUCUGCCUAUUAGUGGGGGACAACAUCUCGAAAGGGAUGCUAAUACCGCACACGUCCUACGGGAGAAAGCAGGGGAUCACUUGUGACCUUGCGCUAAUAGAUGAGCCUAAGUCGGAUUAGCUAGUGGGUGGGGUAAAGGCCUACCAAGGCGACGAUCUGUAGCGGGUCUGAGAGGAUGAUGCGCCACACUGGGACUGAGACACGGGCCAGACUCCUACGGGAGGAAGCAGGGGGGAAUAUUGUACAAUGGGGGGAACCCUGAUCCAGCCAUGCCGCGUGUGUGAAGAAGGCCUUAUGGUUGUAAAGCACUUUAAGCGAGGAGGAGGCUCUUUUGGUUAAUACCCAAGAUGAGUGGACGUUACUCGCAGAAUAAGCACCGGCUAACUCUGUGCCAGCAGCCGCCGUAA
rnacentral:rRNA from 1 species